CCCUACGGGAGGCAGCAGUGGGGGAUAUUGCACAAUGGGGGGAACCCUGAUGCAGCGACGCCGCGUGGGUGAAGGAGUGCUUCGGCAUGUAAAGCCCUAUCGGCAGGGAAGAAGCAAGACGGUACCUGACUAAGAAGCCCCGGCUAACUACGUGCCAGCAGCCGCGGUAAUACGUAGGGGGCAAGCGUUAUCCGGAUUUACUGGGUGGAAAGGGAGCGUAGACGGCGGUGCAAGCCAGAUGUGAAAGCCCGGGGCUCAACCCCGGGACUGCAUUUGGAACUGUGCUGCUAGAGUGUCGGAGAGGCAGGCGGAAUUCCUAGUGUAGCGGUGAAAUGCGUAGAUAUUAGGAGGAACACCAGUGGCGAAGGCGGCUUACUGGACUGUAACUGACGUUGAGGCUCGAAAGCGUGGGGAGCAAACAGGAUUAGAUACCCUUGUAGUC
rnacentral:rRNA from 1 species